GCACAUGCAACUGAGUUCAGGCCGGGGGACUGUGAGCGAUGUACUCCACUUCCAGGCUUGGGCUAAUUACCUCCUAUGUGCGGUCCUAGCUCCUUGUUCUUCUUCCACAGCGGAUGUGCAUGAGCACAGGACUUGGAUGCUACUUACUGAAGGUAGUAAAGCCAGAAGAUGACAGAUACCUGGGUCUCUCAGUCUCUCUACACGGCUCACUCAUUUUGGACUUUUCAUGAGCAAAAAGUAAACUUUUAUCAUACACUUUUUCUGCAGUGUCAACAUCAUCUUCAUCAUUACUAUUACUACAAUCACCUUGAUUCAGAACCCAUCAGUCAAUGAAUGAACAACUGGAGCCUCACUAUUGGUGUGAAUAAUUUCUUUGAUAUCCACUUCUUCCAGCUUGCUGAUAGACUCUGAAGUAUCCUCAGCUCUUGGCCCAGUGAGUCUUCUGUGCAUGCUGCUGGGGGAAAUCAGCCAGAACUGCUCUGCUGGACAAGAUUCUCAGAAUAGAGGCUGCUAACAAGCCCAGAUGGCAGUUGCAGCCAUCUUGUGACUAGAAGAAGAGGAAGCUCCAUACUCAGGGGCUCCAGAACACUAGAGUCACAGUCCUGAGACACAUACCUGGAGGCUGCCCUGCGUGUGG
rnacentral:lncRNA from 1 species